GUAAACCUCGGUGCCUUAAGGAAGAAGAUAUGACGGUACUUAAGGUGGAAAGCAUCGGCUAACUCCGUGCCAGCAGCCGCGGUAAGACGGGGGAUGCAAGUGUUAUCCGGAUUUACUGGGCGUAAAGCGUCUGCAGGUGGUUUCUUAAGUCUACUGUUAAAUCUUGAGGCUCAACCUCAAAUCUGCAGUAGAAACUAGGAGACUUGAGUAUAGUAGGGGUAGAGGGAAUUUCCAGUGGAGCGGUGAAAUGCGUAGAUAUUGGAAAGAACACCGAUGGCGAAGGCACUCUACUGGGCUAUUACUGACACUCAGAGACGAAAGCUAGGGGAGCAAAUGGGAUUAGAUACCCCAGUAGUCCUAGCCGUAAACGAUGGAUACUCGAUGUUGGACGUAUCGACCCGUUCAGUAUCUUAGCUAACGCG
rnacentral:rRNA from 1 species